GGGCAAGUGGCGUAAUUGGUAGCCGCGCCAGUUUUAGGAACUGGUUCCGUAAGGAUUGGGAGUUCGAGUCUCCCCUUGCCCA
rfam:Candidatus Taylorbacteria bacterium RIFCSPHIGHO2_12_FTLL_45_16 rifcsphigho2_12_scaffold_9764, whole genome shotgun sequence.